GCGGCAUGCCUUACACAUGCAAGUCGAACGGCAGCACGGAGCUUGCUCUGGUGGCGAGUGGCGAACGGGUGAGUAAUAUAUCGGAACGUACCCUAGAGUGGGGGAUAACGUAGCGAAAGUUACGCUAAUACCGCAUACGAUCUAAGGAUGAAAGUGGGGGAUCGCAAGACCUCAUGCUCGUGGAGCGGCCGAUAUCUGAUUAGCUAGUUGGUAGGGUAAAAGCCUACCAAGGCAUCGAUCAGUAGCUGGUCUGAGAGGACGACCAGCCACACUGGAACUGAGACACGGUCCAGACUCCUACGGGAGGCAGCAGUGGGGAAUUUUGGACAAUGGGCGAAAGCCUGAUCCAGCAAUGCCGCGUGAGUGAAGAAGGCCUUCGGGUUGUAAAGCUCUUUUGUCAGGGAAGAAACGGUGAGAGCUAAUAUCUCUUGCUAAUGACGGUACCUGAAGAAUAAGCACCGGCUAACUACGUGCCAGCAGCCGCGGUAAUACGUAGGGUGCAAGCGUUAAUCGGAAUUACUGGGCGUAAAGCGUGCGCAGGCGGUUUUGUAAGUCUGAUGUGAAAUCCCCGGGCUCAACCUGGGAAUUGCAUUGGAGACUGCAAGGCUAGAAUCUGGCAGAGGGGGGUAGAAUUCCACGUGUAGCAGUGAAAUGCGUAGAUAUGUGGAGGAACACCGAUGGCGAAGGCAGCCCCCUGGGUCAAGAUUGACGCUCAUGCACGAAAGCGUGGGGAGCAAACAGGAUUAGAUACCCUGGUAGUCCACGCCCUAAACGAUGUCUACUAGUUGUCGGGUCUUAAUUGACUUGGUAACGCAGCUAACGCGUGAAGUAGACCGCCUGGGGAGUACGGUCGCAAGAUUAAA
rnacentral:rRNA from 1 species